AACGAACGCUGGCGGCGUGCCUAACACAUGCAAGUCGAACGAGAAAGUCCUUCGGGAUGAGUAGAGUGGCGCACGGGUGAGUAAGGAAUAGGAACGUACCUUUUGGAGGGGGAUAACUACGGGAAACCGUGGCUAAUACCGCAUGAGAUCGAGAGAUAAAAGGAGGCCUCUGCUUGCAAGCUUCCGCCGAUAGAGCGGCCUAUUUCCCAUUAGCUAGUUGGUAGGGUAAAAGCCUACCAAGGCGACGAUGGGUAGCUGGUCUGAGAGGACGAUCAGCCACACUGGAACUGAGACACGGUCCAGACUCCUACGGGAGGCAGCAGUGGGGAAUAUUGCACAAUGGGCGCAAGCCUGAUGCAGCCAUGCCGCGUGUAUGAAGAAGGCCUUCGGGUUGUAAAGUACUUUCAGCGGGGAGGAAGGCGGUGGAGUUAAUAGCUUCACCGAUUGACGUUACCCGCAGAAGAAGCACCGGCUAACUCCGUGCCAGCCGCCGCGGUAA
rnacentral:rRNA from 1 species